rnacentral:tmRNA from 1 species
GGGGGCGUUCUGGUUUCGACGUUGAUAAUGAAACCAAAGUGGCAGGUCGAGGCGCCGCUGGCCUCGUAAAAAGCGGCACUUUAUAAUUGCCAACGACAAUUAUGAAUAUGCUUACGCCGCCUAAAGCGGUUUAAGCGCAAGAUCGCAAAAGCGAUCCGUCGAUAGGAAGGAUGUCUGAUAAUCUCUAUCGGCGACGACUAUCAGGCUGGCGUAAAAACGGCGUUUGCCAUGUUUUCUACGCGAGACUUAAUUGGCGAACUCGUCCGCAAAAGCUCGUCCGAUUGCCAAAAUGCGGAUUAAACUUAAAAAUCGGUCUAAACCUGUAGACGCUUUGAGCGGAAUGUUUGCGGACGGGGGUUCGACUCCCCCCGCCUCCACCA